rnacentral:rRNA from 2 species
UGAAAUCUGGUCCUUGCGGCCCGAGUUGUAAUUUGCAGAGGAUGCUUUUGGCGCGGUGCCUUCCAAGUUCCCUGGAACGGGACGCCUUAGAGGGUGAGAGCCCCGUACGGUUGGACACCAAGCCUUUGUAAAGCUCCUUCGACGAGUCGAGUAGUUUGGGAAUGCUGCUCUAAAUGGGAGGUAUAUUUCUUCUAAAGCUAAAUACCGGCCAGAGACCGAUAGCGCACAAGUAGAGUGAUCGAAAGAUGAAAAGCACUUUGAAAAGAGGGUUAAACAGCACGUGAAAUUGUUAAAAGGGAAGCGCUUGUGACCAGACUUGCGCCCGGUGAAUCACCCAGCUCUCGCGGCUGGGGCACUUUGCCGGCUCAGGCCAGCAUCAGCUUGCCGUCGGGGACAAAAGCUUCGGGAACGUAGCUCUCUUCGGGGAGUGUUAUAGCCCGUUGCAUAAUACCCUUCGGCGGGCUGAGGUACGCGCUCC